rnacentral:rRNA from 1 species
UUGAACGCUAGCGGCAUGCUUAACACAUGCAAGUCGAACGGUAACAGGUCUAGCUUGCUAGAUGCUGACGAGUGGCGGACGGGUGAGUAACGCGUAGGAAUCUACCUUAUAGUGGGGGAUAACCUGGGGAAACUCAGGCUAAUACCGCAUAAGCCCUAAGGGGGAAAGCAGGGGAUCGUAAGACCUUGUGCUAUUAGAUGAGCCUGCGUCGGAUUAGCUAGUUGGCGGGGGUAACGGCCCACCAAGGCGACGAUCCGUAGCUGGUCUGAGAGGACGGCCAGCCACACUGGAACUGAGACACGGUCCAGACUCCUACGGGAGGCAGCAGUGGGGAAUUUUGGACAAUGGGCGCAAGCCUGAUCCAGCCAUGCCGCGUGAGUGAAGAAGGCCUUCGGGUUGUAAAGCUCUUUCGGCGGGGACGAAACGGUUCGUGCCAACACCACGGAUCUCUGACGGUACCCGCAGAAGAAGCACCGGCUAACUACGUGCCAGCAGCCGCGGUAAUACGUAGGGUGCAGGCGUCAAUCGGAAUUACUGGGCGUAAAGCGUGCGCAGGCGGUCUCUUAAGACAGGUGUGAAAUCCCCGGGCUUAACCUGGGAACUGCGCUUGUAACUGAGAGGCUGGAGUGUGGCAGAGGGGGGUGGAAUUCCACGUGUAGCAGUGAAAUGCGUAGAGAUGUGGAGGAACACCGAUGGCGAAGGCAGCCCCCUGGGCUAACACUGACGCUCAUGCACGAAAGCGUGGGGAGCAAACAGGAUUAGAUACCCUGGUAGUCCACGCCCUAAACUAUGUCAACUGGUUGUCGGGGAAGCAAUUCCUUGGUAACGAAGCUAACGCGUGAAGUUGACCGCCUGGGGAGUACGGCCGCAAGGUUAAAACUCAAAGGAAUUGACGGGGACCCGCACAAGCGGUGGAUUAUGUGGAUUAAUUCGAUGCAACGCGAAAAACCUUACCUACCCUUGACAUGCCAGGAAUCCUCCAGAGAUGGGGGGGUGCCCGAAAGGGAACCUGGGCACAGGUGCUGCAUGGCUGUCGUCAGCUCGUGUCGUGAGAUGUUGGGUUAAGUCCCGCAACGAGCGCAACCCUUGCCAUUAGUUGCUACAUUCAGUUGAGCACUCUAAUGGGACUGCCGGUGACAAACCGGAGGAAGGUGGGGAUGACGUCAAGUCCUCAUGGCCCUUAUGGGUAGGGCUUCACACGUAAUACAAUGGCCGGUACAGAGGGCAGCCAACCCGCGAGGGGGAGCUAAUCCCAGAAAGCCGGUCGUAGUCCGGAUUGCAGUCUGCAACUCGACUGCAUGAAGCCGGAAUCGCUAGUAAUCGCGGAUCAGCAUGUCGCGGUGAAUACGUUCCCGGGUCUUGUACACACCGCCCGUCACACCAUGGGAGUGGGUUUCACCAGAAGUAGUUAGCCUAACCGCAAGGAGGGCGACUACCACGGUGAGAUUCAUGACUGGGGUG